rnacentral:rRNA from 1 species
GGCGGCGUGCUUAACACAUGCAAGUCGAACGGAAAGGCCCUUCGGGGUGCUCGAGUGGCGAACGGGUGAGUAACACGUGGGUGAUCUGCCCUGCACUUUGGGAUAAGCCUGGGAAACUGGGUCUAAUACCGAAUAGGACUCCGGCCUUCAUGGGUUGGGGUGGAAAGCUUUUGCGGUGUGGGAUGGGCCCGCGGCCUAUCAGCUUGUUGGUGGGGUAAUGGCCUACCAAGGCGACGACGGGUAGCCGGCCUGAGAGGGUGACCGGCCACACUGGGACUGAGAUACGGCCCAGACUCCUACGGGAGGCAGCAGUGGGGAAUAUUGCACAAUGGGCGCAAGCCUGAUGCAGCCGACGCCGCGUGAGGGAUGACGGCCUUCGGGUUGUAAACCUCUUUCAGCACAGACGAAGCGCAAGUGACGGUAUGUGCAGAAGAAGGACCGGCCAACUACGUGCCAGCAGCCGCGGUAAUACGUAGGGUCCGAGCGUUGUCCGGAAUUACUGGGCGUAAAGAGCUCGUAGGUGGUUUGUCGCGUUGUUCGUGAAAACUCACAGCUUAACUGUGGGCGUGCGGGCGAUACGGGCAGACUGGAGUACUGCAGGGGAGACUGGAAUUCCUGGUGUUGCGGUGGAAUGCGCAGAUAUCAGGAGGAACACCGGUGGCGAAGGCGGGUCUCUGGGCAGUAACUGACGCUGAGGAGCGAAAGCGUGGGGAGCGAACAGGAUUAGAUACCCUGGUAGUCCACGCCGUAAACGGUGGGUACUAGGUGUGGGUUUCCUUCCUUGGGAUCCGUGCCGUAGCUAACGCAUUAAGUACCCCGCCUGGGGAGUACGGCCGCAAGGCUAAAACUCAAAGGAAUUGACGGGGGCCCGCACAAGCGGCGGAGCAUGUGGAUUAAUUCGAUGCAACGCGAAGAACCUUACCUGGGUUUGACAUGCUCAGGACGCCAGUAGAGAUAUUGGUUCCCUUGUGGCCUGUGUGCAGGUGGUGCAUGGCUGUCGUCAGCUCGUGUCGUGAGAUUGGGUUAAGUCCCGCAACGAGCGCAACCCUUGUCCUAUGUUGCCAGCGGGUUAUGCCGGGGACUCGUAGGAGACUGCCGGGGUCAACUCGGAGGAAGGUGGGGAUGACGUCAAGUCAUCAUGCCCCUUAUGUCCAGGGCUUCACACAUGCUACAAUGGCCGGUACAAAGGGCUGCGAUGCCGUGAGGUGGAGCGAAUCCUUGUAAAGCCGGUCUCAGUUCGGAUCGGGGUCUGCAACCCGACCCCGUGAAGUCGGAGUCGCUAGUAAUCGCAGAUCAGCAACGCUGCGGUGAAUACGUUCCCGGGCCUUGUACACACCGCCCGUCACGUCAUGAAAGUCGGUAACACCGAAGCCGGUGGCCUAACCCCUUGUGGGAGGGAGCCGUCGAAGGUGGG